rfam:Rattus norvegicus chromosome 10, whole genome shotgun sequence.
GGGGAUUUAGCUCAGUGGUAGAGCACUUGCCUAGCAAGCACCAAGGCCCUGGGUUCGGUCCCCAGCUCCG